rnacentral:rRNA from 1 species
GACGAACGCUGGCGGCGUGCUUAACACAUGCAAGUCGAACGGAAAGGCCCUGCUUUUGUGGGGUUCUCGAGUGGCGAACGCGUGUGUAACACGUGUGUAACCUGCCCUUGACUUUGGGAUAUCUUCAGGAAACUCGGGCUAAUACCGGAUAGGAGCUCCUGCUGCAUGGUGGGGGUUGGAAAGUUUCGGCGGUUGGGGAUCGACUCGCGGCUUAUCAGCUUGUUGGUGGGGUAGUGGCUUACCAAGGGUUUGACGGGUAGCCGGCCUGAGAGGGUGACCGGCGACAAUGGGACUGAGAUACGGCGCAGACUGCAACGGGAGGCAGCAGUGGGGAAUAUUGCAGAAUGGGAGGAAGCGUGAUGCAGCAACGCCGCGUGCGGGAUGACGGCCUUCGGGUUGUAAACAGAUGUGGAAUGAGACGAAGAGUGAGUGACGGUAAUGGGUAAAGAAGCACCGGCUAACUACGUG